CUGUGUGUGUGUGUGUGUGUGUGUGUUUGCGCGCGCGCGGGCACGCGAUUUUAUUCAAUUGAAGAAUGUGUGAUAUGAAUAUAAUACAUUCUUUCGUGGAAUAUCAUUGAUCGCGAUAUAUAGCGAAUUAUUCUUUUGCGAUUGACUUUGUCUUUACCUGGGCUUUGUCCGGGUUCGAAAACUUCUGGAUUUACUUAAAUAUAAGAUAGAUUAUGUAUGCGCGUAUAAUGUUAUGUAAAACAUGUCUAAUCCAUGAAGGAAAUAUGUGUUUCAACUGCGGAAUCAACUUUAUAUUAUCGUGUUAUAAAAUUGCUCAAAAUUUGUAAAAUUGUUUUGCAAUACAAUUUACAGACAUAUGAGCUAAAUGCCGAGUGUGAAUCAUGAAUAUUCGAUCAAUAUUCUCGAUCUAUACAAUCAAUAGUUCCUGUUUGAAGAUGACCAACUUGGUUGAGUCUAACACGGACGAAACGACUUUUCUCGUAAACAGCGAUCCCGGAUGAGAGUAGUCUAACCAAAAUAAGACACAUUGCCGCCCUUAGUUCGACCAAACUUCACCAAUCGCCGCAGACGCAUCGGUAAUCCAGGGGCGGAGCCAAGACACGAGUCUCAAAGUCGGUCUCGGUCAGCUUGAGUUCCCAUUGGUGAAGUUCAGAGACGAGGCAGCAUUAAUCGCGCUGUUCUCCGGCGAGACGCAACGUGUUCGGUAAAGCAAGAUGGCUAACCCGACAAUAAAUCGCACGUCAUCGUGUUUUUGAUACAAACCGAAAGAGCGAAAAGAUGAGAAAAAAUGGCUACCAAGUCGCAAAAUGCUUGGAGAUCAACCAUGUCCUUCAUAUAUAUAGGGAGACGUCUUGCCGCUGCAACCUUUAUUUAACCUUGGCCAACGCAUUUGCUGUCUUAUGCACGUAAAACAUAUAUCGUCGCAAACCUCACCGACCUUUAGUGCGCCGCAUCGCAAUUUUGUCGGAGACAGUUAGAAGAUAAAUGUGGAAGAUUCACAUUAACGACGAAAGUAUUGCAAGAGUAAAAUGUGACGAAUAGUAAGAGAAACGAGUUCUACAUUCAUCUUUUGCCAAAAAUUUGGAAAAUGCUUUGCUUUUAUGCGAGAUAAGAGAAAUCAAUUUGAAUUGUCUCAAUUGUCGCAAUAUUUGGUU